UGGAUAUACUGAAACAUAUUUUAGAUUUUAUUCCAUACAUUGUAUCUUGCAUUACUUAAUGUGAAUGUAAUGGUACAGAAUAUGAUGGGUUCUACAGGUUCAUAAUGACCCAUUGCUGUCUGUUUCUAGAUCACAACUUUUUAGUGAUCUUGGUGCAUCGGAUUCUGUUGGCUUGCUUUCUGGUUGUGGUUCUAAUCCUCAUUCUCAUCAUACAUUACAGGACCGAAAGAAAUGGAAAGGUUCUGUAAAGGCCCUAUGUGCCACGACGCACUUGGAGGAAAGGUAACAGGACAUAGAAAACUGAUUCCUUGAACUACGCAACAUUGGAGUGUGAGGGAAGACGAACAGUGAAUGACCCAGAAGAAACUGUUAUCUGCUGUGAGAGAAACCUGCAAUUGAAAACCAACGAUCUGGUCGAAAUAUAGUUAGAAUUCCUCAAUAUUGUGAUGCAUCUGAAGUAUAUUUCCAAAGGUGUUAAAAGUACAAGCUUAAAAUACGUUGAGAGAAGAUAAGGUAAACAGUAACAUUAGGACAAUGCUCGGAUAGCACUCAACAAUAGCGAGAGAGAUGAUAGGAAGCAACACUUAAAGUGCUAUUAUUCAUUAGCUUGUAGUAUUAACUGCCACUUAGCAUUGGUCAUUAUAUAAUGCUUCGGUUUCUGAAGCUGCACAGAGCACAUUCAUAUCUCUCCACCUGAUUGUAGCUUGGGCUCAUUUUGGUUCUAGCCAUAAUGUGUGUGCUUGCCAAAUGUUUUUGUGUCGCUGUAAAAAUGUUCAUAUGUUUCAUUCAAUUUUUUUUGUUAAUAAUGGAAUUUAUUGAAUUGAUUGAUUUUCUAUUGUAUAUCUGAUGUGCUGCAGCGAUGAAUCUAUCCACUGAUGUUUGUGCAUUUCUGAGGUGUUGAUGCAGAGAAGAAUUGGAACACCAAUUGAAACAUUUCUAUGUACAAAAAAAAAGUAAAUCCCUCAUAUUUCUUUUAAAAUAGACAUUACAUCAGUGUUUAUCAAAGAAUGGCUGAAUAAUCACUAUUAACUAUGAUAUCCUCACCUGAAAGUUACUAUAUAACAAUCUGUAUUUAGAUUAAAAAACAAUGUAAGAUUUUUAUUAUAAUA